GCUGAACAAAGACAAAGGUAACAAAGAAAAAUAAUUCACAACUAAGAACUCUAGCUCAAAAUCACCAUCGUUACACAUAAUGAGUGUGUGGACUUUAUAAAAAGACUGUUUACAUGUAUAUCAUAAAUAAAGCGACAGGAAACUUUUGUUUCUUCUUUUUAAAAAAAAAAAAAAUAGGGGGCAGAAACUGAGGUCCCAAUGCACAACGCAAAUGUAAAGGAGACAACUCCUAUGAAGCCAGCCAACGCUAACUUAGCGUAGCGUCCCUUUAAACUGUGUUUCUGUAUGUCUUAUAAGCGGUUAGCAGAAGCAGUAGAGAAGAUCGGAGAAAAACUUAGAAAUGUACUGCGUGUGACAGACACUCUCAGCGCUUUGACAAUGCAUCGGGGUCUUUGGUAUCGUAUGUAGUGUGUUGUUGCUGCUGUUGUUGGUGGUGGUGGGGGCACUUUCUACUUGUUGACUUAUUACCUGCAUGAAGAGGCGGAUCUGUCGAGAAAGUCGCCAAAUCACAGAUCUUUUCAUGGCUGUUACAACACAACACAGUCAACAGCCUCAGGUGCAAGACUUGUUAUUUGACGAAUGAACCAUGCAAUUCCAUUUAUUUGCGACAUGAGGACUGUGGUAUCGACGCCCUCUGUCGCACUAUACUAUUUUUCUACAGGGAUGGCCGCAAAGAUCUAUAUCGAGACUGCGUAAGGGGUACAGACUGGACAAGCGAGUGUAGAGAAGAGAUACAUUCGAGGACUUGUUAUUACUACUGUGACACUGACAACUGUAACAAUGCCACCUACGAACUAUAAGAAGAGGACUCACUUGUCAGAAACCUUCAUGGGUACAAAAGCUAUGGCUCCAGUUCCUUUGUAUUAAUAAAGAACCAUGCCAACAAGUACUCUUCAGUGAAAUUUCAGCCAAAUUACACACAAGAUAAACCAUUUCAUUCCACUCAAAAUGUCUUCUAUUAUUUCCUGCUCUGCAUCGUCGGAAACGUUUCAAGUAGACAUUCCUGAAGGCUUUAAAAAUAUUUCGGCUUGUCGUAAAUUUAUUGUGAUAUUUCACAUGAAAUUGUUUGCUUGGUCCUGAAAACUGAAUAAAGGUUUGACAUCUGA
rnacentral:misc_RNA from 1 species